GACCACGUAGCUCAGUUGGAAGAGCAUUGGGCUAGUAUUCCAAAGGUCGUAGGUUCGAAUCCCGCCGUGGCCA
rnacentral:tRNA from 1 species